rnacentral:RNase_P_RNA from 1 species
AGAUGUGUAUAAGAGACAGGAGUGCAACAGAAAGAUACCGCCUUAUUGGAGAUGGGAAGCUUCUAACUUCUUACUUCCAAAUAAGGUAAGGGUGGAAAGGUGAGGUAAGAGCUCACCAGCGGCAUGGCGACUUGCCGGCUAUGUAAACCCCAUCUGGAGCAACACCGUAUAAGAGACAUAUGGUGGCCCGCCAGUCUCAGGCAGGUGGCUUGAGCUUUACAGAAAUGUAAGGCCUAGAUAGAUGACUAUCGAAUACAGAACCCGGCUUAUAGACUUACUCAAUGA